UACAGAGGUCUCAAGCGUUGUUCGGAUUCAUUGGGCGUAAAGGGUGCGUAGGCGGCGCGGUAAGUCGGGUGUGAAAUCUUGGAGCUUAACUCCGAAACUGCAUUCGAUACUGCUGUGCUUGAGGACUGGAGAGGAGACUGGAAUUUACGGUGUAGCGGUGAAAUGCGUAGAUAUCGUAAGGAAGACCAGUGGCGAAGGCGGGUCUCUGGACAGUUCCUGACGCUCAGCCACGAAAGCAUGGGGAGCGAACGGG
rnacentral:rRNA from 1 species